GCUGGGCGUGAUGGUACAUGCCUGUAAUCCCAGCAGCUAGGGAGGCUGAGGCAGGAGGAUUGCAGGUUCAUACCCAGCCUCAGCAACAUAGUGAGUCUGUAAGCAACCUAGUGAGACCCUGUCUCAA
rnacentral:sRNA from 1 species